rnacentral:rRNA from 1 species
UACGUAGGGCGCAAGCGUUGUCCGGAAUUAUUGGGCGUAAAGAGCUCGUAGGCGGCUUGUUGCGUCGGCUGUGAAAUCCCGGGGCUUAACUCCGGGCGUGCGGUCGAUACGGGCAGACUUGAGUUCGGCAGGGGAGACUGGAAUUCCUGGUGUAGCGGUGAAAUGCGCAGAUAUCAGGAAGAACACCCGUGGCGAAGGCGGCUCUCUGGUACGUGACUGACGCUGAGACGCGAAAGCGUGGGGAGCAAACAGG